GUGCAUAAGAGUGGGAGAGGGCGAAGGAGCGGCGAAGGCUGCCAGGAGUAUAUAAGACUGGUGAGAGCGAACUUCGGCAUCACUGGAAGACAGCGACUCGUCAAAGCAAUAGCAACAUGUUCAAAGCCAUGUUUGCUGUACUCAGUGUAUUCUUAUUGGUGGUUGCCGCACUGACCAGCGCCAUGCCGGAGCCGGGAUACCGUAGCUAUGGCGGCUAUGGUGGCGGACACGGUUACGGCUACGCUGGAUAUGGGGGCGGGUAUGGUGCAUAUGGUGGCGGCCAUGGCGGUGGCUACGGACGCUGAGAUGGAGGGUGCCACGUACCUGAACUGACAACGAUGCAUCCAAGACGAAAGUGUUGCGUGCUUAUUGCUGUACACUAUUGUGAAAUGACUAUUGGAGUUUUUUUUUUUUUUUAACUCCUUAAAUCGAGAAGUAAAAUUUUACAUUACA